GACGAACGCUGGCGGGGUGCCUAAUACAUGCAAGUUGAGCGCUGAAGGUUGGUACUUGUACCAACUGGAUGAGCAGCGAACGGGUGAGUAACGCGUGGGGAAUCUGCCUUUGAGCGGGGGACAACAUUUGGAAACGAAUGCUAAUACCGCAUAAAAACUUUAAACACAAGUUUUAAGUUUGAAAGAUGCAAUUGCAUCACUCAAAGAUGAUCCCGCGUUGUAUUAGCUAGUUGGUGAGGUAAAGGCUCACCAAGGCGAUGAUACAUAGCCGACCUGAGAGGGUGAUCGGCCACAUUGGGACUGAGACACGGCCCAAACUCCUACGGGAGGCAGCAGUAGGGAAUCUUCGGCAAUGGACGAAAGUCUGACCGAGCAACGCCGCGUGAGUGAAGAAGGUUUUCGGAUCGUAAAACUCUGUUGGUAGAGAAGAACGUUGGUGAGAGUGGAAAGCUCAUCAAGUGACGGUAACUAUCCAGAAAGGGACGGCUAACUACGUG
rnacentral:rRNA from 1 species